CUGGGGAAAGAAAUGGCAAACCACUCCAGUAUCUUUGUCAAGAAAACCCCAAAUGGAGGAGAGUCGGACAUGAAUGAAACUACUCAGCAACUAUAGAUCUAUUUUGACACGUGUUAAGCUCUGUUGUUCUACUGGAAGAUUGAAAAUGCUGUCAAUACCCUUUUAAUUUGGCAUCCUGGGACAAAGCUCUGAUAACCCUACCCUAGUUCCUGCACUGCUUCGCUUGUCUCAUAUGAAGGGCCAAGGCACCUUUUGAUUAUUUGGUAUCCGAGGAAGAAGCAGUAACAGCGGCCUUUUAUAGAAGGAAAACAAAUCAGUAAUGAAGAAAGACUCCUGCCUUUGAUGUCUACUAAAUCUCUCUCCUUUGAAGAGUAGAUGCUGAUUUUUGCAUGGAAUACUCCAAGGUAUCUUAUU